UACGAACUGUGCAAACGUUAUUCGGAAUCACUGGGCUUAAAGGGUGCGUAGGCGGCUCAUUAAGUAGGGUGUGAAAGCCCCCGGCUCAACCGGGGAAUUGCGCUCUAAACUGAUGGGCUGGAGUGAGAUAGGGGUGUGUGGAACUUCCGGUGGAGCGGUGAAAUGUGUUGAUAUCGGAAGGAACGCCGGUGGCGAAAGCGACACACUGGGUCUCAACUGACGCUGAGGCACGAAAGCCAGGGGAGCAAACGGG
rnacentral:rRNA from 2 species